AACGAACGCUGGCGGCAUGCCUAACACAUGCAAGUCGAACGAGACCUUCGGGUCUAGUGGCGCACGGGUGCGUAACGCGUGGGAACCUGCCCUUAGGUUCGGAAUAACUCCCCGAAAGGGGUGCUAAUACCGGAUAAUGUCUUCGGACCAAAGAUUUAUCGCCUUUGGAUGGGCCCGCGUUGGAUUAGCUAGUUGGUAGGGUAAAAGCCUACCAAGGCGACGAUCCAUAGCUGGUCUGAGAGGAUGAUCAGCCACACUGGGACUGAGACACGGCCCAGACUCCUACGGGAGGAAGCAGUGGGGAAUAUUGGACAAUGGGCGAAAGGCUGAUCCAGCAAUGCCGCGUGAGUGAUGAAGGCCUUAGGGUUGUAAAGCUCUUUUACCCGGGAUGAUAAUGACAGUACCGGGAGAAUAAGCACCGGCUAACUCCGUG
rnacentral:rRNA from 1 species